GUAACUGUAAAUAGAUAAUACUGGUUGUUAAAUUUUCAUUAGAAUUAAAAUAACAAAUAAAUUUUAUAUUUAAUUAACAGCUGUAAGCUACUGUUUUACUUUGAACUUUAUUUAGAUCCAUAAAUUGCUUACAUAUGACACACGAGUCUCAUAAUUUGUAACGAUUGAACAAUAAUGACCGAACGACAAACAUACUAAAUCAGAUUAUUUAAUGAAGCGCCGCUCUACUUAUAUCGAUAAGCAUGAAUCGAAUCAAUCGAUUCGAAUUCCUCGCAUAUUUGCUAUCGUGAUGAAUAUGAGUCUCGAUCAUCAUUCUAGUAAUGCCAAUUUUUUAGUGGUUUUAAUCCAUCUAUUUAAGCUAUGUGCAGGCAUUCUCGUUAUUUUAACUGCAGCGAUUACGCUGUCAGAUGCCAACUAAGUUAUGGCAUAACCAUGGAGUUUGUAAUUUCUUUAUCAUGCUUAAAUUAAAUGGCAAAAAACUAUUUUAGUCGUAAGUAAUAUUAUUAGACACUUAAACUCGGAGAUUACUAAAUCUUUCAGGUUUGCUAAAAGCAAUUUAAAUGCCAAAAUUUCGUGCAAUCUAGUCGACUCGAUAAACUCAAAUAUGUCUAAAUUAUCUCGCAUAAUGUGUGCAUUAAGAUAGUAAGGUGUAUUAGUAUGCUUAAAGUAACUUUUUUGCAAUAAGUCACACUUGGAACAACAAUAAAACCUAAAAAUGGCGAUGGUAAUGUCAAAUUUGUCAUCAGAAUUUUGUUGCGUUGUUGUAACAAUGUAACAAUUUAUAACUAUUUUCUUUCAAU
rnacentral:lncRNA from 1 species